rnacentral:rRNA from 1 species
UGGGGAAUAUUGCACAAUGGGCGAAAGCCUGAUGCAGCAACGCCGCGUGAGUGAUGAAGGCCUUCGGGUUGUAAAGCUCUGUCUUUUGGGACGAUAAUGACGGUACCAAAGGAGGAAGCCACGGCUAACUACGUGCCAGCAGCCGCGGUAAUACGUAGGUGGCAAGCGUUGUCCGGAUUUACUGGGCGUAAAGGAUGCGUAGGCGGAUUUUUAAGUGAGAUGUGAAAACCCUAAGCUUAACUUGGGGACUGCAUUUCAUACUGGAAAUCUAGAGUGCGGGAGAGGAGAAUGGAAUUCCUAGUGUAGCGGUGAAAUGCGUAGAGAUUAGGAAGAACACCAGUGGCGAAGGCGAUUCUCUGGACCGUAACUGACGCUGAGGCAUGAAAGCGUGGGUAGCAAACAGGAUUAGAUACCCUGGUAGUCCACGCCGUAAACGAUGAGUACUAGGUGUAGGAGGUAUCGACCCCUUCUGUGCCGCAGUUAACACAAUAAGUACUCCGCCUGGGAAGUACGAUCGCAAGAUUAAAACUCAAAUGAAUUGACGGGGUCAUAGCUGUUUCCCG